rnacentral:snRNA from 1 species
AUCGGAAGGAUGACGAUCCAUCCGUUGAAC